CUACGUGCCAGCAGCCGCGGUAAUACGUAGGUGGCAAGCGUUGUCCGGAAUUAUUGGGCGUAAAGCGCGCGCAGGCGGAUCAGUCAGUCUGUCUUAAAAGUUCGGGGCUUAACCCCGUGAUGGGAUGGAAACUGCUGAUCUAGAGUAUCGGAGAGGAAAGUGGAAUUCCUAGUGUAGCGGUGAAAUGCGUAGAUAUUAGGAAGAACACCAGUGGCGAAGGCGACUUUCUGGACGAAAACUGACGCUGAGGCGCGAAAGCCAGGGGAGCGAACGGGAUUAGAUACCCCGGUAGUCCUGGCCGUAAACGAUGGGUACUAGGUGUAGGAGGUAUCGACCCCUUCUGUGCCGGAGUUAACGCAAUAAGUACCCCGCCUGGGGAGUACGACCGCAAGGUUGAAACUCAAAGGAAUUGACGGGGGCCCGCACAAGCGGUGGAGUAUGUGGUUUAAUUCGAAGCAACGCGAAGAACCUUACCAGGUCUUGACAUCCCUCUGACCGCUCUAGA
rnacentral:rRNA from 1 species